rnacentral:rRNA from 1 species
UGGUCCUACGGGGGGCAGCCGUGGGGCCUCUUUCCCCCUUUUUGGCCCCCUGAUGCAGCAAUGCCGCGUGGGUGAAGAAGCACUCCGGUGCGUAAAGCCCUGUCAGCAGGGAAGAAAAUGACAGUACCUGGACAAGAAGCCCCGGCUAACUACGUGCCAGCAGCCGCGGUAAUACGUAGGGGGCAAGCGUUAUCCGGAUUUACUGGGUGUAAAGGGAGCGCAGGCGGCGUGGCAAGUCAGAUGUGAAAACCCGGGGCCCAA